rnacentral:lncRNA from 1 species
UCCAUCAAGUAUUUCACUUUUAUCUUAAUUAAGUGACUCUCCUUUUAACUUCUUCUCUUGUGUUACCUAAGUAUGGGCUAUGAAGGGAUUCAAACCCAACUAUAAUCCAUCAAAGUUUUCCACAAGAAAUAGGAGGAAAGGAUUUGAAAAACUUAUGAGUCUUUUAUCUGUUAUCCUUCUUGCACCAAAUCAAGUAUGUUUUAUAAAAGGAUUUCAAUCUAACUAUAGUCCAUCAGGGCUCUUGGUAAGGG